ensembl:lncRNA
AAAUUCAAUAAAGACGUUAAGAAUGGUCCAUGUCAAAAAAAAAUCUUAAAAAAUAGAAAGAUCAAAGACUAAAGCUCUUCAGGGAAAUUUGGGCAUCUGUAUUGGAAGGGGAGUUGUUUUUUGACAUUCAAACACUCUGGAAUCAGAGAUAAGUCAACUGAAGAGAUACCCUCAGGUAUUAUGGGGCUUGACAGCUAAAGAUAUGGCCUCCAAUUCUUUGACACUCUUCCCGUUGAAAUGGGAUUUACGUUCGUUCCCUCCUUAAAACUGGAUGGGCUUGAGACCACUUCACCAAUAGACACGGUGGACACAAUACCAUGUGACCUGUAAAGUGUUAGUCGCUCAGUUGUGUCUGACUCUUUGUAGCCCCAUGUAGCCUGCCUGCUCCUCUGUCCAUGGACUUCUCCAGGCAAGAAUACUGGAGUGGGUAGCCAUUCCCUUCUGCAGGGGAUCUUCCUGACCCAGGGAUCGAACCUGGGUCUCCUGCAUUGCAGAUGGAUUCUUCACCACCUGAGCCCUUGUGAUCUUUAAGGUUAGGUCAUAAAGUUCAGGUAGCACUAGCUAGAUCUCUGGGAACACUGCUUUUCUGCCAUCUCUCUGUGGAUGCUUCCUCUUGGGACCCAGUUGUCAUCUGUAAGCAGCCACCUGGAGAGGCUUGAGAAGAUCCUCCAGUUGAGGGGGCCAGCCCAGUUCCGCUUUUGAAUCAUCUGGUCCAGACACAUGAGGAAAGAAGCUGGAGUGAUGAUGACUCCAGCCCCAGCCAUCCAUCCGAGCCCCAGCUUCCACCUCGCCACACGCCCUGUCCCAACCCCCUGACCCACAGAUUCUCUGAAUACAAUAAACCAGAAGAUGCUUAUGCUACUGACCUGGAAGGUGUUGGAAAUGUGUGGCAGCUGCCUGCAGCCUGGGGUCACUGCCCUCAUAAAUGCCCUUCUUCUGUGGGGACCCCCUCCAUGUCCCACACUCGGUGGGCUGUUGGGGAACCAGGCCUCGAUAGAAUCACAAAGUUCAACUGCACUUUGUGAGCCCUGAAGAUUGUCACAACCCGUCACUCUGACCUGGGGCAUCUGGGCUCGGACUCCUGGCAGACUUAUCAAGACAUUUCCUGCAGACGGGGUCUCUCCCACCAAGGGAACAGCUUGUCUGCAUUGGGGUCAGUGGUGAGUAAUUCUCAUUUUUGUAGGAGGAGCAGGCAGACCUGGAUUUGAGACUGGCUCCGUCUCUGCUGCCUCUGAGCCCUUGUGCAGAUUUGGCCACGUCUCCAAGCCUCAGUUUCCCCAUCUGUCAAUUGUGUGGUCCCUUGCGGAGUGGCUGUGAGGGUGAGCCUCUGGCAAGAGCCAUCCAUCCUGACUUCCAUGUCUGGCUUCCAGCCAGCGGAAGGGGACGUGGUGGAGAGAGGGUGUCCCCCAACAUGGAGGCCGGACUCACGACCUCCACUCACCUCCUGUUGGCUGUACUCAGGCACGUGGCAAUAGCCGGGUGCCUGGGGUGCAGGAAGCACAAGGGCACCCAUGU